UUCCUCCUGCUGUGUUGGUUAAGACCAAAGACUCUUUGAACCAAUAUUUGAAAUAGGGUUGCUGCAGUUGCUGGCCGUUGAGCAUGUUCCUUAGUGGAUGAGCCUGAAGUUGGUGCGUAGCGACCACCUUGGACCUUAAGGUUCAGGAUGAUGGCCUGACGGCAUGAGCGGGAGGCCC
rnacentral:other from 1 species